rnacentral:lncRNA from 1 species
GCCAUCUUGAUAUAGACAGGAAGUGACUAACAUUAGUGGCAAGAGGCUUAGUAAUCAAAGAAUCUCAGGUCAUUUAAAAAAUCAGUUGAUCAUUUUUUAAGAGUACAAAAAAGAGAAAUAGUUACUCAAAGGAGAGCUAGGGCAGCAGUAUCUCUUUCAUUCACACCUUUUUGGCAACAUCAACAUCCUUGUUCUUGUUUUGCCAUCUACUUCCAUUUAGAACUAGGAUGCGGGGGGAUGGGGAAGAACAAGGACUUUUUGGUGAGAGUGAAAAUCAUUCAUGACUCAACUUUCUGGUGUAGGGGAGAGGAAUUGACUCAUAUGGCCUGUAGACUCCACUGUCUUCUUCGUGUACCCCAGCUUUUAAGAGGAGGGCAGGAUCAAGAUGAUCUUCUAAGAUAUCUGUUAUUGAUCUCCCAGGAAGACCUGCAUUAAGGAAAUAUCAGCUUCAUCUUCAUCCCUUUUGUUUGAGGUUCCUACAUGCAUUUAGGGAAACCAGAAGGCUAGCUAGCCCAGGUUGUCCAAGGGGACUCUCAGAGCUCAUUCCCAAACAGCAGGGAUGGCAGAAAAAUGCUGGAGAAACCUAGGGAGGAAUCUGCUUCUCUCUGAUACUCUGAUCAGUUUGGUGUCUCAGACUUAGGCUGCAAACCCUAAUCCUGCGGCUGUCCAUAGCAGAUGCCAGACAAGGAACCCCAAUGUCCGCUAUCAGAGAGCAGAAAAAAUUCUGUCGCAUUCCCUUUGGAUUUCAGCCUUACUCUUUAAACUGUUCUCCUUGAGUCUCAGUUUUUACUUGACCUUACACUAUGAAAGGGGGAUCUCUUUGGGUUUGUAAACCAAAAUUAAAAUUCUAAGCCCCCCCAAUAGACUGAAUGGACCCCCCUCACAACCAAGAAGAUUUCAAAGAAACCUGAAAAACCAGUUUAGUCCACGAAGGGAAGUGGGGGAUUGGACAUGCCUAAUUAUACCCUCCCCCUUUUGGAGUUUAGCACAACUGACCAGCAUAACAUUAAAAUAGAGAUCCUAAGACUGACAGAACUGACUAUGUAGCAAUAAGAUACCAACUCCAACCUGACUCUGAAAAUCAAAGUAUUUUACCCCAAACUAUAUUUCUUUGACAUAUUUUGAAAUGGCCCUGCAACGUUGUCUCUUGUGGGGGAAAUUUACAUUCCGUAGAGAAUCCUCUUCCCUCUCCAGGUCUUUUCCUGAUCCAGAAGAGAUGUAACUAAGAGUCUGACAUCUUUUAAGGUCAGAUAAGAGAUAUUCACUAUCUAUUCUCUCUGAAGUCUGGAGGUUUCACCUACAUGAGAAUAACCUUGGCUUCCAGAACCGCUCCCUUCCCUUAACUCAAGCUGACUUCAAUUCUUCAGGCAUAGCUUAUCUCUUUCAACGAAUUGCCAGUCAGAAAAUCUUUGAAUCCACCUAUUACCUAGAAGUCGCCCCCUCAACCCGACUUUGAGAUGUCCUGCCUUUCCAGGCCAAGCCAAUGUAUACCUUACAUGUAUUGAUUUAUGUCUUUGUUUGUAACUUCUGUCUCCCUAAAAUGUAUAACACCAAGCGUAGCCCAACCAAAUUAGGCACAUGUUCUGAGGAAUCCCUGAGGCUGUAUCACGGGCUAUGGUACUUAACCUUGGCAA